UAUAAGGUUUUUUUGAAAGCCACAUCAUUUUCCAAAGAGAUAAUUG
rfam:Pongo abelii chromosome X.